CUGUAUCCUUGAGCGUGCCCAAUUAUCCCCGUUUACAGCAGCUUUAGGAAAAUACGAUUUUGACAGCAGUUGAAUGCGCUUGAAAACGGCGUUACGUUACUGAUCUCGGCCACCUGAAAUUGGGGUCAAAAAUGAGACUUCCAGCCUGACAGCGUGUACCUGCAGCAGCAGUAAACCCACAGCAGAAAUAAACCGACGUAACCAGCCGGUAAUUACCCAGAAACGCGCUCCCUUCCCCUCCUCACCUAAUUGCUGGGGCUUUCUGGGGGUGCUGGCUCACGUGGCGUGCCCUGGGGGCAGCAGGUUUGGGCUGUAGUGUCUUAAAAAAUA
rnacentral:lncRNA from 1 species